UGUUUAACAUGCAUACAUCUGCAUUUUAUUUCUUUCUAGAAUGAAAGCCAUAGAAAAAUAUGUACCUGAAAACGCAGCAAGAACUUAAACUCCAACUGCUUUUCUCUGCAAGAAGCCACAUUUGACAUUAUACUUCAUCUUGAAAAACUUAGUUUAGUUGGCCGUAAAAUGAUAUGAUAUUGAAUGGUUUUGCCUCAUCUUAUUUUCUAAUCAGGUACAUAAAUCCUAAGUACGCUGUGCAGGUGCUGCUGCUAAGACUGAUUAGAAUUAAGGGCAACAUAAAAAAUAGUCUUGUAAAAUCAGGUGCAUUUGGACCUUUGCACUGGAAAGACUGAGAAGCCAGAAGUUUAACAGGAAUCACUUUUCUCAGUUUCCUUUGACAGACAUUUCAACAGGAAGAACCUAGAAGGAAGAUGUUUAGAGAGGCUGAUGGAAAAUAAUGCUUUGAAAUGGCUGCAUCCAGAUUAAUCAGCUAUAUCUGGUUUUCCGCAGGACUCCACUGAGAGUGGAUGGAAGAGUUGCCAAAGAAGCAACUGAUGCCCAUUUUGCCACAGCAGCAGUUCUGGUGCUAAUAUUUCAGGAAUUAAAAUCUUAUCUUUAAGGACCCGUGACCAGGAAAUGAAGAUGAUUUGUUCUUGUGACAAAGAAAGAGAUGAAUCUAUGCUUAUGGAAAACAUUUAUCUUUCACUAGCUUUAUUAUAACAAGGUGUGAUUGUUGCUCAGAGUUUUCAGGGCUAUCCCACCACGUAGCAGCCUGCAUUCUCAGCUAACUCCAUAUCAGAGAAAAUCUGUUCCCAUGAGCUCAGCAAAUGUUUGCAUGGUGGACUGGCAAAGACAGUAAGCCAAGAGCAAUAUGGGGAAGGGAGCAGCACUGAGCCAUGAAGAAACGCAAAGUACUCCAUGUAUGAGAGCCAACACAGCUGCUGGAACCAUAAGGAAUCAUCUAUGGAAGCUUGAACGUGUAGUGAGGGCAACCUCCCUGACAGCAUCCCAGGGCCAUGACACUUGUCCCCAAAAUGAGGAGAUCUGCCAGUUUGGAGUACUGGGAGUGGAUGGAAGCAGGUUUCUGACCCAGACAUCCAGUCCUGUGAGAGAUGGGUGGAGUCCCAUCUCAGGUCAUGCUGCUCAGGUCAGUAAUUAAU